rnacentral:rRNA from 1 species
UACGUAGGGGGCAAGCGUUAUCCGGAUUUACUGGGUGUAAAGGGAGCGUAGACGGCGAUGCAAGUCAGAAGUGAAAGGCGGGGGCCCAACCCCCGGACUGCUUUGGAAACUGUAUGGCUGGAGUGCAGGAGAGGUAAGUGGAAUUCCUAGUGUAGCGGUGGAAUGCGUAGAUAUUAGGAGGAACACCAGUGGCGAAGGCGGCUUACUGGACUGUAACUGACGUUGAGGCUCGAAAGCGUGGGGAGCAAACAGG